AAACAUGGCUCCUUGAAUUUUAUUGAUAGGGAGUCUAGCCUGCCCAGUGAUAAUUUUUUAACGGCCGCAGUACCCUAACUGUGCAAAGGUAGCAUAAUCAUUUGCCCUAUAAUUGAGGGCUAGUAUGAAUGGCUUAACAUGAAUGAACCUGUCUCUAAAGACUUAAUUAAAAAUUAACCUUCAGGUGAAGAGGCCUGCAUAUUAUUAAAAGACGAGAAGACCCCAUCGAGCUUUAAAGAAAUUAAGAUUAUCUAUAAUUGCAUUUUAGUUGGGGCGACUUAGGAACAUAAAAAACUUCCUUUUAUAUCAAAAAUUAUAAAUCAUGAUCCACUAAAAGUGAAAAAAGAAAAGCUACCGUGGGGAUAACAGCGUAAUUUUUUUUAAGAGUACAUAUUAAAAAAAAAGUUUGCGACCUCGAUGUUGGACUAAAAUUUCCUAAAGAUGUAGACGUCUUUAAAGGUUGGUCUGUUCGACCAUUAAAAUUUUACAUGAUCUGA
rnacentral:rRNA from 1 species